rnacentral:tRNA from 1 species
UGCCCGGUGGUGUAAUGGUAGCACGCAUGGCUCUGAACCAUGUAGUCCUAGUUCGAAUCUAGGCCGGGCAGCCA